UUGGAGGGCAAGUCUGGUGCCAGCAGCCGCGGUAAUUCCAGCUCCAAUAGCGUAUAUUAAAGUUGUUGCAGUUAAAAAGCUCGUAGUUGAAUUUCGGGGUCAGCAGGUUGGUCGUGCCAAUGGUAUGCACUGGCCUUGCUGAUUCCUCCCUCUUGAUGAGCCGUAAUGCCAUUAAUUUGGUGUUGCGGGGAAUCAGGACUGUUACUUUGAAAAAAUUAGAGUGUUUAAAGCAGGCAAGCGCUUGAAUACAUUAGCAUGGAAUAAUGAAAUAGGACGUUUAAUCCUAUUUUGUUGGUUUCUAGGAUUGACGUAAUGAUUAAUAGGGAUAGUUGGGGGCAUUAGUAUUCAAUUGUCAGAGGUGAAAUUCUUGGAUUUAUUGAUGACUAACUACUGCGAAAGCAUUUGCCAAGGAUGUUUUCAUUAAUCAAGAACGAAAGUUAGGGAAUGGAAGACGAUCAGAUACCGUUGUAGUCUUAACCAUAAACUAUGCCGACUAGGGAUCGGGAUGAUGUAUUUUAACCC
rnacentral:rRNA from 1 species